rnacentral:misc_RNA from 1 species
GUGUUGAUUAAAGUGGAGCUUGAUUUGAUUAGAGUUUUGUCCGUUUAAAGUUGAAAUUAAUUUAAUUAACCAUGUAUCGCAUUCGAUUGAUGGGUCGAUUCGUUUUUCUUUUUCAUAUAUUGUUUUACAAGCAAUCAAAUUCGAUAACCCGCAAUCACAGCGAGUGGAAGAGUGUUGCGUUGUGACCUGGGAUUCCAUUUCCUGCAAUGGUAGAGUGCUACUCAGAGGUCCACACGCCAAUGAGUUGGGUUAUUUUAUGGUUUAGAGUCGAAGCAAAUAUUAUGAAAUUGUAUACACGGCAAAUAGUCAAUAUCACACCUAAAACACGCUAAUCGCUGUCCAGGAAAUCCCCGAGUAUGGAAAAAGUGACCUGUGAAGCUGGAAAGAGUGCAGUCUACUGUUCUAAUUUUAUUUUAUCCUAAUUAGUAGAAAUCUUAUCUCAGGGCUUAAUUGGCUUUGCCUGUUGGGUAAUUUCGAUUGUAUCUGUAAUGCCUCCUUUGUACUUGUACCACUUUGCACAUAUUAAAAAGUAGCCGAAAUUUAAGACCCCAAGAGCAGCAAUCACGUAAUAGUAGUAGUUUAGUCUUCCCUUGUUGAGAUCUUCUGGCAACCAAUUUGUCGUUCUGUGAACUAUUGUUAUUAAUAAACUGCUUAAAUAACUUGAACCUGCCAUGCCACAAAAAAAGAGAGACCCAGCAAUGCUUCUCAUGUUCUCAGGAAAUUGCUUGUAGUAGAAUUCAACCAUGCCAAUGGAACCGAAUGCUUCGGCUAAUCCUGUCAGUGCUAGCUGAGGAAUUAACCAUACACUGGACAUUGAUGAAAUGCCACCCCUUCUUGGCGCUGUUCCUACAGUUGGCUUGGUGAGAGCUAUAGUCCUCCUCUUCUCUUCAACCAAGGCGGAGACUAACAUUGCGAGAGCUGAUAAAAUUAUGCCAAUCCCAAUUCUUUGAAGAAUUGUGAUGCCACCUUCUUUUCCUGUUAGCCUCUGGAGAAAUGGCACAAAGAUUCGGUCGUAGAUAGGUAUAAAGAUGGUUAAACUUAGCAUCAUGAACACCCCGUAGGACGCAGCUGGGACUUUGAAAUUGCUGCUUCCAAGGCGUCUAUCGCUUUGAACUGCUUGGAAGACGGCGUAAGUUUGCUGUUGAACUAUAGCAAUAAAGAAUACAACAUCUGAUACCCAUAUGGGAAUCACUCUCAACAGGCAUUUCACUUCUUCCACUUGCUGCAGACUGCAAAGCUUCCACGGAUCAGCUGGUGAUCCGUCAGGGUUUAUUUUGUCUUCGAGAGUCCUAAUUGCUGCUUUGUCAAGGAAUCUGAAUUGAUCCGUGUAAGAAAGCUUGGCAUUGAUAGACGUGGGAGGAGUAUAAUUGAAAAGGGAGAACCAAGGUUGCUCUACUGGCUUCAACCGUCUUUUCUUGAUCGCAACUACUAUAACCUGUGCUACGCUGGUCAUUGGGCUGCCAUUAGCUUUCACUUUGACAUAGAUUUUUGAACCCGAGAAGAAAAGUAUACAAGCAAUGAGCAUCAGAAUUGCUGGAAUUGCUAAGCCUAUUGCCCAGCUAACAUUGGCUUGAACGUAAACAAUUAGAGUCAGAGAUAUCAUCAUGGCGAACGUGAACGUGAAGAAGUACCAGUUGAAGAAGCUAUUAAUACCCUUCUUUCCAGAUUCAGUUUUUGGGUUGAAUUGGUCUGCUCCAAAUGCUAAAUUACAUGGGCGGACUCCACCAGCUCCUACUACCAUGAGUCCAAAUCCUGUCAGUAGAAAUGCCAUUUGACCUGGUGUUGGCCCUUGGCACGUACUACUCUCCUUUCCACACCGGGGAGGAUGCAGUUUAGAAAUUGCAGCCGUUAAUUGAAUCACAAGCAAACCCUUCACGUGAAAUACAGGAACAAAUCAACCAGAAAUUUAGAUGAUCAAUUCACUAGAUAAAGUGAAAGUGUUAAAUUGCAAGAAAUUUUUAGUACCAGAAAGGAUGUAACUGUGGCGAAACCCAAGGUGUUAUAGCGACCAAAGUAAGUGUCACAGAGAUAGGCUCCAACCAAAGUACCAAAGUUGGUGGUGCCAUUGAAGACGUUGAUAAUGGUUGCAGCUGUGAUGCUCUUCAUGUUAAAGACAGUGGUGAGAUAUAUCAAGAGAUUUGCUAAGGUUCCAAUGGCUCCAAGCUUCUCAAAAGUUUCAUUCCCUAUGAUAAAAGGCAUAGCUUUCCACCCCCUGUAGUUAAUUUUGGGCUCUGCAUCCAGGGCAUCUUCCUGAUUGCUUUCCAUGGUUGGUUUGUGAGUUUCUUUCCCGUGAACUUCCAUGGAAUCCUUCCCUUUCUCCCCUAUCGUUUCAUCGUUUUCCAUCUGUGCCUAGUCAGUGUCCUGGGUAUAGUGG